rnacentral:rRNA from 1 species
GUGAGUAACACGUGGAUAACCUACCUAUAAGACUGGGAUAACUUCGGGAAACCGGAGCUAAUACCAGAUAACAUGUUGAACCGCAUGGUUCAACAGUGAAAGACGGUCUUGCUGUCACUUAUAGAUGGAUCCGCGCCGCAUUAGCUAGUUGGUAAGGUAACGGCUUACCAAGGCAACGAUGCGUAGCCGACCUGAGAGGGUGAUCGGCCACACUGGAACUGAGACACGGUCCAG